AGGGGCGUAGCUCAGCUGGUAGAGCGUCGGUCUCCAAAACCGAAGGUCGCAGGUUCGAGCCCUGUCGCCCCUG
rnacentral:tRNA from 1 species